rnacentral:tRNA from 1 species
AAUUAAUGAACUUGUAUAAGUAUAUAUUUUGAAAAUAUAAAAAAGAGAUUUAAAUUCUCUAUUAAUUU